rnacentral:rRNA from 1 species
ACGGAGGGUGCAAGCGUUAAUCGGAAUCACUGGGCGUAAAGCGCACGUAGGCGGUCUUGUAAGUCAGGCGUGAAAGCCCUCGGCUCAACCGGGGAAUUGCGCUUGAUACUGCUCGACUUGAGUAUCGGAGAGGGUGGCGGAAUUCCAGGUGUAGGAGUGAAAGCCGUAGAUGUCUGGGGGAGUAACGGCGGCGAAGGCAGACACCUGGAAGAGUACUGACUGUAAGGUGGGUUUUCGUGUUGAGCAGAGAG